ensembl:lncRNA
UUUAGUUUUCAACCGUUGAAUGGUUAUCCUCGUGAGUACUGACCCAACAGGUCAUUACGACACUUCCACGUCUUCGCAGCUGACUUCACAGCUGAAAAACGUGUUCCUGAUGCCAAACGUGGAAGCCGUUACUUUAGAUCGAUGUGGCACGCUGAUGUCCAACCUUGAAUACGUGUAGAAGGAUUGACGUUGGACAUCCUGUUGCAGCAUGUGGUUUCCCACAAUGGAAGAAGAGGGAAAGUUCUCCACGUGGGUGGUUGGAUCUAGUAGGAGUGCCACUGAGUUAGAACUGGUGGGUUGUUACAAAGAAGGAGCCAACAUGCUGGACCUGAAAGCAAC